UGUUUAUUUUACCUUGUUGCUUCGGCGGGCCCGCCUUAACUGGCCGCCGGGGGGCUUACGCCCCCGGGCCCGCGCCCGCCGAAGACACCCUCGAACUCUGUCUGAAGAUUGUAGUCUGAGUGAAAAUAUAAAUUAUUUAAAACUUUCAACAACGGAUCUCUUGGUUCCGGCAUCGAUGAAGAACGCAGCGAAAUGCGAUACGUAAUGUGAAUUGCAAAUUCAGUGAAUCAUCGAGUCUUUGAACGCACAUUGCGCCCCCUGGUAUUCCGGGGGGCAUGCCUGUCCGAGCGUCAUUGCUGCCCUCAAGCACGGCUUGUGUGUUGGGCCCCGUCCUCCGAUCCCGGGGGACGGGCCCGAAAGGCAGCGGCGGCACCGCGUCCGGUCCUCGAGCGUAU
rnacentral:misc_RNA from 1 species